rnacentral:rRNA from 1 species
GAGACUGCCGGUAUAAACCGGAGGAAGGUGGGGAUGACGUCAAAUCAUCAUGCCCCUUAUGACCUGGGCUACACACGUGCUACAAUGGUUGGUACAACGAGUUGCGAGUCGGUGACGGCGAGCUAAUCUCUUAAAGCCAAUCUCAGUUCGGAUUGUAGGCUGCAACUCGCCUACAUGAAGUCGGAAUCGCUAGUAAUCGCGGAUCAGCACGCCGCGGUGAAUACGUUCCCGGGCCUU